GUAAGAAGAAAGUCACAUUGGAUUAUGGCCUCACCUUAACUGGAUCAUCCGCAAACACCCCAUUUCCAGAUAAAGUCACAUCCCCAGGAAAAAAAAUCAUUCAAGAGGCAAAUUUCAAAGCACAGAGUUAAUAAUGUCAUCUAUUUAAACAACAAUUCAUGACCGGCCACGACUUUGAAGUAUCAAUGGCAGGAUGGAAAGAACUUGCCACGGGGCAUGAGUGGGACUGAGCCGUGCAAGGCGCAGACUGUAGUAGAUGCUGACAGUGCUCCACUCAUACACUCACUCUUAACCAUUGUGGUGUGCAAAGCUGACUUCCACCUGUGCGAUGGCACUCUCUGGGGGCCAGAGCGUCUGCCCAUCCACAUGGCAGGUCAGAAGUGGCUAAGAACGAAUGUCCGCCAGAUGCAGCAUUCAACCAAUGACUGACAAGAAUGGGGGAUAAAUAGCACAGCUCCUUUCCAUGUCAGGGGAAUAACUCGGAGGCAAAUGUUCUGCAGUGGCCCAGGGUUUCUCCGUGGGUUCUAGUUAUGCGCGGGAACUUGUUCGAUCACCAUCCCUCUAUUGGCUGUCACCUCUCCUCUGCUUCACCUUCCUGUCCCCUCAGCAGAGUAUCCUAGGAUUAUCCCCAAAUAAAUGACUUGCACUUCUUUGUCUCAUAGUUUACUUCUAGGAGAAAUCAAACUAACAAAGAUUCCGAGGACAUGGUUGACAGGAUUCCACAUGUGACACUCAAACAGGGACCGAGUAAACUAUUAUGGCGUGGACAAGAUCACCUUUGGGGGGCGGUCAUUGGGUUGUAUGCCAAAUGCAAACAGAAUGCAGGCCUCUCUCUGGUCCCACUGUAAAAAGCAAGAGAUCACAACCUUGCUGUGGGCUAUGGAAGACUAAGGGAGGCUGAGCUAUCAGUGAGCAGAGACUCAGUUCUAAUACAUGACCUGCCAUAUUGAAUGAUCUCUGUCCAGUGCUCUCAUCUGGUACUUCCCAGGAAUCAAGCCCUUUCCUUUCUUGGACAAAC